rnacentral:rRNA from 1 species
GAUGAACGCUAGCUACAGGCUUAACACAUGCAAGUCGAGGGACCGGCGCACGGGUGAGUAAUACGUAUCAAACCUGCCCUUUACUCGGGGAUAGCCUUUCGCAAGAAAGAUUAAUACCUGAUAUAAAGGAUGGGGAUGCGUUUCAUUAGGUUGUUGGUGAGGUAACGGCUCACCAAGCCUUCGCUGGAUAGGGGUUCGGAGAGGAAGGUCCCCCACAUUGGAACUGAGACACGGUCUAAACUCCUACGGGGGGCAGCAGUAAAGAAUAUUGGUCAAGGGGCGCUAGCCUGAACCAGCCAAGUAGCGUGAAGGAUGAAGGGUUUUGGGUCUUAAACUUCUUUUAUAUAAGAAUAUGUAUUAUAUGAAUAAGGAUCGGCUAACUCCGUGCCAGCAGCCGCGGUAAUAC